ACAUAGCUGGUGUAACGGUUAAGCAUACGAGUCCACCACACUUGAGAUCUGGGUUCGAUUCCCAGGCUGUGUA